AAUCAACGCUGGCGGCGUGCCUCAGACAUGCAAGUCGAACGCGAAAGUUUCCUUCGGGAAGCGAGUAGAGUGGCGUCCGGGUGAGUAACACGUAGGUAAUCUACCUUUGGGUGGGGAAUAACAACCGGAAACGGUUGCUAAUACCGCAUAAUGCAGCGGCACCACAUGGUGACAGUUGUUAAAGCGGGGGAUCGCAAGACCUCGCGCCUAAAGAGGAGCCUGCGGCGGAUUAGCAGUUGGUAAGGUAACGGCUUACCAAGCAACGAUCCGUAGCCGGCCUGAGAGGGCGGUCGGCCACACUGACACUGAAAUACGGGUCAGACUCCUACGGGAGGCAGCAGUCGGGAAUUUUGGGCAAUGGGCGAAAGCCUGACCCAGCAACGCCGCGUGAAGGA
rnacentral:rRNA from 1 species